GACGAACGCUGGCGGCGUGCUUAACACAUGCAAGUCGAACGGAAAGGCCCUGCUUUUGUGGGGUGCUCGAGUGGCGAACGGGUGAGUAACACGUGAGUAACCUGCCCUUGACUUUGGGAUAACUUCAGGAAACUGGGGCUAAUACCGGAUAGGAGCUCCUGCUGCAUGGUGGGGGUUGGAAAGUUUCGGCGGUUGGGGAUGGACUCGCGGCUUAUCAGCUUGUUGGUGGGGUAGUGGCUUACCAAGGCUUUGACGGGUAGCCGGCCUGAGAGGGUGACCGGCCACAUUGGGACUGAGAUACGGCCCAGACUCCUACGGGAGGCAGCAGUGGGGAAUAUUGCACAACGGGCGGAAGCCUGAUGCAGCAACGCCGCGUGCGGGAUGACGGCCUUCGGGUUGUAAACCGCUUUCGCCUGUGACGAAGCGUGAGUGACGGUAAUGGGUGAAGAAGCACCGGCUAACUACGUG
rnacentral:rRNA from 1 species